rnacentral:rRNA from 1 species
UACGUAGAGGGCUAGCGUUGUCCGGAUUUAUUGGGCGUAAAGAGCGUGUAGGCGGCCAGAUAGGUCUGCUGUGAAAACUCGAGGCUCAACCUCGAGAUGUCUGCGGAAACCAUUUGGCUAGAGUCCGGAAGAGGAAAGUGGAAUUCCUGGUGUAGCGGUGAAAUGCGUAGAUAUCAAGAGGAACACCUGCGGCGAAGGCGGGUUGCUGGGCCGACACUGACGCUGAGGCGCGAAAGCCAGGGGAGCGAACGGG